ACAAGAAUAGAGAGUCUGGAGAAAGUCUAUAGAGUAUUGUGUCCUCUAAGACCAAGCCUCUGAGCCUAAGGCCUCCUGAUAGCUGAGGCUUGUAGAGGGGACGUGUGAGUAGCUCCCAGUGCCAACCCAGAGACAAGUGACUAGGGGCAGCUAUUUUCCUGCUCCCUGGGGCUGACAGGAGUCAGCCUUCCUAUCUGACCACCCAGACCUCUCAGACUGGCACCAACUACCUCCUCCCUCCGUUCUGUUGCCCUGGCUGGGCCCAGACCUCCCCACCUAUGCUUAACCCUUGGAAAGUUGACUGGUCAGCAAUCUAACCCAAGAUAAAGAGGGUGAGGGUAGCGUGCCCAGGCCCGUCAACGCUUGGCCCUUGUGUUGGAGCCAUUUCUGGACCGCCAGAGGCCAGGCGUGUGUUGGGGCGUGUGUUCAUAUGGUCUCCUCCACCCUAUGUCCUCUUUCCCAGGACCAGUGUGUCCAUAUAAUGUUGUGGACCUUGUACAAGGCUCUCAGAUUGGGCCUCUUGGUCACAAACUGGUGGCACAUUCCUUUAAGAUUAGCACUGCUACUGCCAGGGCCCAGAUGGGGGACACCUCUGCCUGAUGCUGCCUGUAGGUCCUGGGAACACCAGUGACAGGCCCUGAGCAGAAGCAACUACACACACAUCAGUCCCACACUGCUUCAGAACCCUUCCUGGCUCCGAUGCAUUUUCAUGGAGGGAGAGAGAAGAGCUACUUAGGGCCUGUAAGAGGUCGCACUAUGAACUUCCCAGGGCUGAGGCAGGCCUCCUGUAAACCCACAGACAGGAUAUUAUAACACAGAGCCAGGCAUGGUGGCACAGACCUGGAGUCCUAGCAUUUAGGAAGCAGAAGCAGGAGGAUCACCCAAAGUUCAAGAGCAGCCUGGUCUAUAUAGUGAGUUCUUGGCCAGCUGGGACGAUAUAGCAAGAUCUGCCCCCUCCCACAGAGGUGGGGAAGAGAGGGAGGAUGAAGGGGAGAAGAGAAGACGUGGAUACGGCUAAGGUAGAGGAAUUUGCAGGGAUCCCAGGUGCCAGAAAAGGGGACCCCUGGAUUUUAGUCUGCUAUAGUAAGCCCAGUUGAGCUCUAGAGGCAACAGCUUCACUUCUGCCCUGCCCUCCUGUACUUCUCCUCCUCCUCUUCUCCUUUUUCUCCUCCUCCUCCUCCUCCUCCUCCUCCUCCUCUUCUUCUUCUUUUUCUUCUUGACAGGGUUUCUUUAUGUAGCUUUGGUGCCUGUCCUGAAACUAGCUCUGAUAGACCAGGCUGGUCUCGAACUCAGAGCUCUGCCUGCCUCUGCCUCCCGAGUGCUGGGAUUAAAGUUGUGUGCCGCCACCACCACCAGGCCACUCCUGUACUUCUGACCCCCCUUCGGUCACACCUGGCUCAUAGCCUACUGUGGGACUCCUGAGCCUCACUCUUGGUCAGUAGAGUCUAGCAGGAGGCAACAUCAAGGAGUUUUAAGUCUCUGGAACCUGACCCUUAGAGCAAAAUAAAUACCCACAGAGUAUAGGGUUCCUGCAGAGAACAAAACAGCAAACAGGCUGAAAAGGAGUUUAGGUGUCCCUAUCUCCCGGUCACCAAGUAGCCUUACUCUCCUGAUUUGGAUCAAAUUGCACCAUCUGCUGCCCAGGUCACUAGUGGGCUCGGUAUGGAGAAGUCAGAAGCUGGGCCUUUACCCACUAUGUCUGGUCCCCACCCCAGAGCUGCUGGGGUCCCCCAGUGGCCCUGAAAAAAAGGAAGGGUAGAAAUGGGAAGGCUUCAGGGUUGAAUAACAAGGAAUGACCAGCAUGAGUAGACAGAUAGGGGGGAUACAGGUAAGGGGCACGGGGAGAAGGAAUACUGGUCCAAGGCCCUGCAAGGGUGGACAUCAGUCCACUAGCAGCAAACCGUCCUUAGAGCCCAGGUCCCCCUCCAUUGCCCUGCUGAAAGCAUGAGUGUUCAACAGCUGGGUGGUCCCAGCAGCCUGCAGUCCCAGCACUCAGGAGGCAGAGGCAGACAGAUCUCUGAGUUCAAGGCCAGCCUGCUCUACAGAGUGAGUUCCAGGACAGUCAGAGCUACAUAACGAGAUCCUGUCUUCUAAAAUCCAGAAAUAAGACUGAGAAUACUUGAAGAUUUCCUCCCUCACAGAUCAUGGAGGGUGAGCUAGAACAGGUCCAGGAACCAUACAUCGGGACCUCUGUGGGUGGUAGGGGAACAACAAGGGAGUUUCUAGGCAGUUCGUGGACGGUGAGCUAGGGAACAUCAUGGGGUGGAGACAGAUUUUCAUUCCCACAAGGCUGAGACGCUGGGGUCUCCGCACUCUGCAUCCGGGCCUCAUGCUGAAGCCAGGGAAGGGGGCAAACAUGAAGUUCAGGACCAACAGGGAAUGCUUUUCCUGUCACUGAAGGGGAAUGACCACUGGAUGGACUGCUCAGCCUACCCUGUGCAGCCGGCCUCCUGUCCCCACGGUGGGGGGUAAAUCCUGACACUCAGACAGAGUCCAUCAGCGCUGAUAAAUAUUCACCCAAUGAGAGCGCAGUCCUAGCCCCGGGGUGCCAGGUAGCCAGGUGUGGAUGCAACGCCUUUGCUCCUGUGGCCGGAGCUGUAGGUCUUUUUCCACCUUAUUACCCUCCCCGGCUAGGAACAGAUGGGGAGAAGGGACAAUGGACCAGGGACCCUACUCUCCUUCCUUCUUGGACGAGGCAGCUGAAAUCCCUCUCAGGUCUCAGACUUCACGAGGCCCAACUGUCAGGGAAGUACGGAAGAUGCAAGACCCAAUUCCUAAGACGUCAGCCUGUCUUUACUGCGUGCGCUUGCUUAUGCACGCCAGCUACCUGGACUGGCACUGGCCCAUGCCACCACUGCUCCCAGCCGGCUCCAACAGGACAAAGGACGCCUGGGUGUUUGCAGUGUGGCCAGCGAGCCACCGAUUUUCUCUGCAGGUGGCUGAGGUGGGGCGAUCUGCUCUUGGUGUUUCGCGCUGGUCCCUGCCGCCUGCGUCCUCUGCUGCCUAGCCAGUCCCUGCAGGUUCCGGUUGCCGCUUGCGUCGCUGCCUGCGUCACUUGUCUGCGGGCGUCUGCUUCCCUCGUCUGCCGCAAGACACGUCUGGUCCUGGCAGCAUCAGUUUACUUCAAAAAAGGAUGAUGAACAUGGAAGAACCUCCAUAUGGAGUUUGCUUUCUUUGUGAUAAACAGUAGGCACUUGGGCAAGGAACUGCUCUUGCCUCAACUGCUGGCAGUAUGCUGUCCAACCUGAGCAAACAGGACAAAAAGAAGAGACUGCAGAAUUUGCCAAGACCAGGUUUCUCUGUGAAGACAACUAUCCGCCGUGUACAAAAAAAUACAUUUUCUCUCCUCACAAUCUGCAAGAUUUUAUUGACUUUUUGGUAACUCAUUGUUGGAACUGUGACCUGCAGUACAAUGUUCAGAUGUGGCGAGAGCAGAAAUUCACCGCUUUAUUCUUCUCCACGGAGGAGAGGUGUCCAGUUUUCCCCAUGAGGUCAGCUGAAGGUCAGAGUUCUCAGAAACACUUUCUGGGCUUUAGUGUUAUUAUUUUAAUACUAAAAUGCAAGGUCUCACUAUGUAACUCUGGCAGUCCUGGAACUCACUAUACAGACCAGGCUGGCCUUAAGGGCAUAUGACGCCACCACAUGGCUAAUAUUUAAUAAUAAAUGUUAUUAUUAAAUAUUAUUAUUAAUAAUAAAUAUUAUUAUUAUGAAUGUGUGGCACAAUGCCAUGGCAUGCAUGGGGCUCUCCUUCCAUCUUUAUAUGAGCCUCAGUCCCACUUAGCGACAGGUGCUUUCAGUCUCUGAGUCCUCUCUCCCACCUUCUGAGAAUGUUUCCCGUCAUUACUAGUUUUCUGAGGGUUUUUAAUUUUAAUUUUAUUUUAUUGAUUUUUUUUUUUUAGUUUUUUUGAGACACGGUUUCUCUGUGUAGCCUUGGCUGUCUUGGAACUUGCUCUGUAGACCAGGCUGGCCUUGGACUCACAGAGAUCCUCCUGCCUCUGUCUCCUGAGUGCUGGGACUAAAGGCACAUGCCACCACCACCUGGCUUAUUGAUUGUUUUGAGACAGGGUUUCUUUGUGUAACAGCCUUGGCUGUACUGGAACUCACUCUGUAGACCAGGCUGGCCUUGAACUGAGAGAUCCAGCAGAACUGAACCUGGGUCUUCUACAAGAGCAACAAGGUUAUGUCAAAACUCAUCUUUACGAACACACUGCAGGGAGGUGGGGGCCUGGGAGGAGUCUCGUCCCAAGCAGGUUGAAUCUCAGCCUUUGACAAGUUCAGGGCCCUUCUCUGGUCAGCCUCUUUCAGGCCACAGCCAGCCCUGUUAGUCGGAGACAGAUUUAGAAGCUCCUCAGGGAAAGUGUCUUCCCAGAUGGCCCUUCAGCUGGGCAGGAACCCAGGCCCUGCUGGCCAACUGGCACCUAGACCUCAGCUGAAGAGGAGACCCAGUACUAUGGAUGCCUUCCAGGCCUGCCUGCUCUUCCUGUCACGGAAGGCUCGGAGCUCCCUGGCACCAGGCGCCUGCAGAUUAUUCCGAUCCACACCCCUGCCCAUUGGCCGGCAGCUCUUUAUUCACCCAAUGGGAAGGCACCUUGGCAAAGACACAUCUUCACAGGAUACGAAGAGACUAUUCCUUAACAGGUAAAGGUUAGCUACAGAGGCUGAGCCUGGAACCAAGCAACACGGACAGCCUGGCCUGCAACGUGCAGCUUCACCUGUGUCUUUAGUUUUCACUAGAAGAGAAGCCAUUUCUGUCACUGGCCUCGACCCAGGAGGGACUUAAAGCUCCUGCAGCCACCAAUCACUGGAGCACGUGUGAGCACAAGUCACAGGAACUGUGACAGUGGCCACAAGUCUCUAGCUACACAGCUCAAGCUGUCUGGAAGGAGAAAUCGUUCACCAGCGCUAGAGGCGAUGAGGGGCUUCAGGAAGGUUUGCUCAGGACCUGGCUCCCUCUCCUCUGGGUGUCACGUUGUCUGGCUCUGCCGGCUUCCACACCUCAGGAGGAAGAGCUCCCUCCCCCAAGUUGCCAAGAUUAGACCAGCUGAGGCCACGGCUCUUCUGCUGGGAAAUCCCAGGGACUGUCAGGCAGGAGGAAGGCGAAGUGGGUGAUUCGAGGAAGCCCAGCUGUGGGGCCACAUGCGCAAACACAGCUGUCCAGGGUGUCCUGCCAGGGACAGGGGUGGAUCCAGGGGACUCGUCCCAGGAGGUUCUCUGCCACUUACUGGAGGAACUGUGGAGAAGAGCCCGGGCUGCCGGCAGGAGGAGGUGACUCAGUGAAUACAGGGUCCUUCUGGGUGCUGUUCCCAGGACGCCUUCAUGCUGAGGAAGAAAAGGGGCUGCAGGAGCCCUCUGGAAACAUGCAAUAGGUCCGGGAGGGCACCGUGUUCAUGCUUUAACGGGAGAGAUUGGGCCCGUCAUCCAUCCAGGUAAGCCUGGCGAGGGGUUUGAACUGAUCCUUUGGGUGGAGGCUCAUAAGCCUGUUUUGUUUUGUUUUGUUUUGUUUUUCGAGACAGGGUUUCUCUGUACCUUUAGAGCCUGUCCUGCAACUAGCUCUUGUAGACCAGGCUGGUCUCGCACCUGCCUCUGCCUCCCGAGUGCGGGGAUUAAAGGCUUGCACCACCACCCUGCUAAGCCUGUUUUUUAAGGAGGUACAAGAUGCCCUAAAGCCAGCCCAGCACUCAGCCCAAGAUGUCCCUCUGAGUGACCUGGAAGGACCCACCAUCAUGGCUGAUUGGAUGGAGGCAAUCCCUCAGCUAGGGUUUUCUUUCUCAGGUGAUACUAGUUUGUGCCAAGUUUACAAAAACUAACCAGUACAAUGGCCGUCUCAUCUGGCUUCUGCUUCUGUCUCCCACCAGCCCAGCGACACCCUGGUACUCACAUCAGACCCAGGGUGCAGGUAACGCUGCUUCUGGUCACCCACCCCAUAGCCUGAGUUCUAGACCCCGGAUUCGGCCUGGCCCAUCCUAGUCUGUUGAUCUCUCCACUGGAUCUGUAGGCCCGGGACAGGAUUUUUUUGUUUUGUUUUUUUUGUUUUUUGCUUUUUUUGUUUUCAUUUGAAGACUGUUUUAUUCUAUAGCCCUGGCUGCUAGAACUUACUCUGCCCACAUCCCCAAUUGCCCCCAGAGUUUUGUACUUUGUAUUUUCACCCUGUUGACGCUCCCAACCAAACCCAGAGACGCCUGGCCGGUUCUCCAACUCCAGCGGGAUCCUCCAACACCCGUAACCGUCUGUGCUCUUCCAGCCCAGGCCCUGCUCUGAAGUCCAGUGCUGGGUUUGGUCUCCUGUUUCCAGUCUGGACCCUGGACUGCCACGUCCACUCCCGAGCCUUGCUAGCAUGGCACCUCUGAGUCUUGGCCGCACCUCCAUCGGCCUGAGCCACACCCUUUCUGGGUCUGCUUCUUCAUCUCCCCUGCCUGGGCAGCCCGGUUCUAUCCGCCGCCUACUGGCCAAUCCACGCUACGUGACUGCCACCCAGAGGCCACUCCGGGAAUUACAGGCUGUCCUUAUACCUGCGUCUCAGCCCCAGGCCAUGUGCCCCAGGAUAUUCGCUCUUUUUCAGAACGACCCCUAUUAAAUGAAUUAGGACUAGAGAUUGGCCCAGAGUCUCCCAGGGUGAACACUUGGUAUUUGGAAGACGUUUUGAUCAAUUGCCAGAAACAGGCUCUGGCAAAAGCUCGAUUUGUGGAUAGAUUUGCAGAGGUACUCUGGUCAGUCCUACUUUUCCAGGCUUCGGAUGUUGGAGUGUCUUGGCAGGAGAGGAAUGGGGUGUGGCUACCAACACAGGAGCCGAAACAAAGAGAAAGAAGAUGGGAGGGGGCCGCCAACCAGCUGCGGGGAGUGUGAAAGAAAUGUACUGUCUUCUCCACCCACGUGUCAAAUACGGCAAAGCAUCACCUAAAAAAGAUUGUAAGUGGGUCUGCAGAGAUGGCUCGGCAGUUAAGAGCGCUCGCUCUUGCAGGGGACCCAGGUUCAGUUCUCAGCAACCAUUUGGUGGCUCACAGUAACCUAUGACGUCAGUGUCAAGGCAUACGGUGUCCUCUUCCAACUUCCUCGGAGUCUAGGCACACGCAUGGUACACAGACGCACAUGUAGCAAAACACUCAUACAUAUUAAGUAAAAUAAUUAAUUUAUAAUUUUUUAAAAAUAUUUAUUUAUUAUGUAUACAGUAUACAAUAUUCUGUCUGUGUGUAUGUCUGCAGGCCAGAAGAGGGCAGCAGACCUCAUUACAGAUGGUUGUGAGCCACUAUGUGGUUGCCGGGAAUUGAACUCAUGACCUUUGGAAGAGCAGGCAAUGCUCUUAACCACUGAGCCAUCUCUCCAGCCCAUUAAUUUAUAAUUUAUUAUAAUUUAUAAUUAUAACUAUCUUUCUUCAACUCCAUCAAAGACUCCAGAAAGAUAUAAUAUUACCUAAGUAAAUAGGAAGUGCAUUAUAAGCAACUUCCAAAACUCUAGAAUUGACAGAGACUUCUCACUGCCUGGACAGUCACCCAAAGUUCUUCUGUACUGUCGGGGCACCCAUCUUCAGCCCACAGGCCCAUAGCAUCUGGCAGACUUUUCCAUGAAGAAGGAAAUUUGAAAAGCUGUCCUGCCUUUACUGGCAAUUUGUCAGUCACUUUCUUCUGGCAGACUUUUUCAUGGAAGCAGAAACCAUGAAGGACUGUCUCACCUUCUUUAGACAAGUCCAGCAGUCAUUUUUCUGCAGGUCCUGCAUGUCCAGUUCAUAUAGGACAGUAAUCAAACAGUCCAGGCAAGAGCAGUUUUUUUUUUUUUCCCCAAAUGGCUAACAAACUCCAUGAGGAGCCUCUUCAAUGCCCAUCUUCUUCUUGAAGUAGAUUUGUGCUGCCAGGAGCAGAUGUGUCUCUUUGUCAUGAAAAGUGCUAAGUUAACAAAACAUUUUUAAUGCCAUAUUCUAUAGGUCUUUGAAGUGUUGAAGAUUAGCUAUCUAACUGAAAUAUACCUCUAUAUAUCUAGAAGACCUAACUAACAUGACUACAAGUUUGACUAUUAUAAAUUAAUCUGUAAUUUUAAUUAUACAUUAUGUUUUUUUUAAGAUUUAUUUAUUUCUUAUGUAUAUAACAUUCUACCUCCAUGUAUGUCCACACACCAGAAGAGGGCGCCAGAUCUCAUUACAGAUGGUUGUGAGCCACCAUGUGGUUGCUGGGAAUUGAACUCAGGACCUCUGGAAGAGCAGCCAGUGCUCUUAACCACUGAGCCAUCUCUCCAGCCCCUACAUUAUGUUUUUAAAUGAGCUGUAUAAACACAAUACCUUAAACAAGAGUAAAAAUAUACAUAUAAAAUUGUCCUUAAAUUUGUAUCAAUAUAGCAAAGUCCAUACCAAUGUAUUCAUUUCUAUAUUAUAUCCCCUUUUAAAUGAAAACAAACAUUUAUAAACAAUACUUUGAGAAUUUGAGCUUUGUUUUCUCCAAACUGCUUCCUACUGUUUGUUGGGUAAAGUAUUUUUCGGGUUCACAGAGACCUUUCAGGGGAUCUUGUUCUAUCAAAACCACAUUAGCCUGGAAGGAAUCCACAGGUUCUCAUCCUCUGUGGAAACAAAAGCAGAGCCUCUUUUCCAAAGUAUCUUAUCCUUACACCGUUCUUUUCUUUUUCAAGACAGGGUUUCUCUGUAGCUUUGGAGCCUGUCCUGGAACUCAUUCUAUAGACCAGGCUGGUCUCAAAUUCAGAGAGAUCCGCCUGCCAAAAAGGUGUGCGCCCCAACUGCUUGGCAAAACCUAAAUUUUGAUGUCAAGAUACAUUUAUGUUGGUUUAACUUAGCAGCCCCCAGAAUCCAAUAUCUCUCUACAGUCAAGAAGUUCAAAGAAAACACAAUAAUAUACAUAAUCCAGACUCUCUGUGUAUUUUCCCUAUGACCCCUCCCCCAUUGUAUUCAGAACCAAUACUGUGGGCCCUCGGGAGACAGUGGAUCUCUGUGAGUUCAAGGCCACCUGGUCUAACAUCGAGUUUCAGGCCAGCCAGAGCUGCAUGGUAAGACUCUGGUACAGGAUUUUAUGUGAUAUAAAUUUAAAGGUCUUUUUGUUAUAGUAUUUGCAUGUUUCUGUUCUUGUUUAAAAUAGUGUAGCCAUACAAUAUAUCAUACAUCUUGAGGGAAACCACAAGAAAGACUUCGGUAAGAGUUUUUAUGUUGUCUAAAACAGCUAUAAAAGGUCAAAGCAUUAAAAAUAUUAAUUAACUAAUGGUUUAAAAAUGUAUUUCCUUGUUUAAGGUCUAUUCAGGCUUAAAAAUGCAUGUUUAGCCUCCUUGUCUUUGCUAACUCUGUUGGGUUUAAGCUAUUUGGAUAAACUGAGUCAUAAAUUUUUGUAUUGAUA